GACGAACGCUGGCGGCGUGCUUAACACAUGCAAGUCGAACGGAAAGGCCCUGCUUUUGUGGGGUGCUCGAGUGGCGAACGGGUGAGUAACACGUGAGUAACCUGCCCUUGACUUUGGGAUAACUUCAGGAAACUGGGGCUAAUACCGGAUAGGAGCUCCUGCUGCAUGGUGGGGGUUGGAAAGUUUCGGCGGUUGGGGAUGGACUCGCGGCUUGUCAGCUUGUUGGUGGGGUAGUGGCUUACCAAGGCUUUGACGGGUAGCCGGCCUGAGAGGGUGACCGACCACAUUGGGACUGAGAUACGGCCCAGACUCCUACGGGAGGCAGCAGUGGGGAAUAUUGCACAAUGGGCGGAAGCCUGAUGCAGCAACGCCGCGUGCGGGAUGACGGCCUUCGGGUUGUAAACCGCUUUCGCCUGUGACGAGGCGUGAGUGACGGUAAUGGGUAAAGAAGCACCGGCUAACUACGUG
rnacentral:rRNA from 1 species